rnacentral:rRNA from 2 species
GCGUGCCUAAUACAUGCAGCUCGAACGAACUCUGGUAUUGAUUGUGUGCUUGCAUCAUGAUUUACAUAUUGAGUGCAGUGGCGAACUGCGUGUAGUAACACGUGGGUAAACCUGCCCAGAAGCGGGGUGAUACACUCCUGGGAAACAGAUGCUAAUACCGCAUAACAACUUGGACCGCAUGGUCCGAGUUUGAAAGAUGGCUUCGGCUAUCACUUUUGGAUGGCCCCGCGGCGUAUUAGCUAGAUGGUGGGGUAACGGCUCACCAUGGCAAUGAUACGUACCCGACCUGAGAGGGCUAAUCGGCCACAUUGGGACUGAGACACGGCCCAAACUCCUACGGGAGGCAGCAGUAGGGAAUCUUCCACAAUGGACGAAAGUCUGAUGGAGCAACGCCGCGUGAGUGAAGAAGGGUUUCGGCUCGUAAAACUCUGUUGUUAAAGAAGAACAUAUCUGAGAGUAACUGUUCAGGUAUUGACGGUAUUUAACCAGAAAGCCGACGGAGUAACUACGUGCCAGCAGCCGCGGUAAUACGUAGGUGGCAAGCGUUGUCCGGAUUUAUUGGGCGUAAAGCGAGCGCAGGCGGUUUUUUAAGUCUGAUGUGAAAGCCUUCGGCUCAACCGAAGAAGUGCAUCGGAAACUGGGAAACUUGAGUGCAGAAGAAGACAGUGGAACUCCAUGUGUAGCGGUGAAAAUGCGUAAAUAUAUGGAAGAACACCAGUGGCGAAGGCGGCUGUCUGGUCUGUAACUGACGCUGAGGCC